CAGAUAUUCCCUCUGUUCGGAAUUACUCGUCCAAGAAAUGAAUGUAUCUAGAUGUAUUUUAGUUAUAGAUGCAUUCAUUUUUGUGACAAGUAAUUCCGAAUGGAGGGAGUACAUG
rnacentral:pre_miRNA from 1 species